GUGCUUGCUUCGGCAGCACAUAUCCUAAACCUGGAAUGAAACAGAGAAGAUUAGCAUGGCUUCUGUGCAAGGCUGACACACAAAUUUGUGAAGCGUUCCAUAUUUUU
ensembl:snRNA U6 U6 spliceosomal RNA